CUUGUCUUCUCAGAUUCAUUUGUUUCCAAGGACUGGGAAGAUGCCUCAAUUGGUGAUAUUUGGAUGGCCACACACACCAACAACAUCAGCAAAACUGGUGUGAAGAAAAAUAUCUAUGUCCUUACAUCUUGGUCUAUACCUGUUAACAACCAGCAUUGCAACAUCACAUAGGCGGGUGGAGGUAGCCAGGCUAGUACCAAAACAUGCCCCAGUCCUCCUUUCCCACUCUGGGAUUGCAGGCAUGAUUGCAACAUCACACCCAGAUCUUCCUCAUUUUAAAAGAGUAAUCAUAUCCAGGGAAGAGCAUCCCAAGACAACGUAAAGAGCUCAGCAAGUGUAUGUCAUGCAGCCCGGCAGCUCUGUUGAAGCUGUUGCCACACGGAA
rnacentral:lncRNA from 1 species